ensembl:lncRNA
GGGCAGGUUAGGGCAGUACAGGGUAGGUUGGGGUAGUACAGUACAGGGCAGGUUAGGGUAGUACAGUACAGGGAAGGUUAGGGCAGUACAGGUCAGGUUAGGGCAGUACAGGGCAGGUUAGGGCAGUACAGGGCAGGUUAGGGCAGUACAGGUCAGGUUAGGGCAGUACAGGGCAGGUUAGGGCAGUACAGGUCAGGUUAGGGCAGUACAGGGCAGGUUAGGGCAGUACAGGUCAGGUUAGGGCAGUACAGGGCAGGUUAGGGCAGUACAGGUCAGGUUAGGGCAGUACAGGGCAGGUUAGGGUAGUACAGGGCAGGUUAGGGCAGUACAGUACAGGUCAGGCCAGGGCAGGUCAGGUCAGGGCAGUACAGGGCAGGUCAGGUCAGGGCAGUACAGGGCAGGUCAGAGCAGUACAGGGCAGGUCAGGUCAGGUCAGGGCAGUACAGGGCAGUACAGGGCAGGGCAGUACAGGGCAGGUCAGGUCAGGGCAGGUCAGGGCAGUACAGGGCAGGGCAGGUUAGGGCAGUACAGGGCAGGUCAGGUCAGGGCAGGUCAGGGCAGUACAGGGCAGGGCAGGGCAGUACAGGGCAUGUUAGGUCAGGGCAGUACAGGUCAGGGCAGGUCAGGGCAGUACAGGGCAUGUCAGGGCAGUACAGGGCAGGGCAGGG